rnacentral:rRNA from 2 species
GGGUUGUGAGGUUAAGCGACUAAGCGUACACGGUGGAUGCCCUGGCAGUCAGAGGCGAUGAAGGGCGUGCUAAUCUGCGAUAAGCGCCGGUAAGGUGAUAUGAACCGUUAUAACCGGCGAUACCCGAAUGGGGAAACCCAGUGUGACUCGUCACACUAUCAUUAACUGAAUCCAUAGGUUAAUGAGGCGAACCGGGGGAACUGAAACAUCUAAGUACCCCGAGGAAAAGAAAUCAACCGAGAUUCCCCCAGUAGCGGCGAGCGAACGGGGAGGAGCCCAGAGCCUGAAUCAGCAUGUGUGUUAGUGGAAGCGUCUGGAAAGGCGCGCGAUACAGGGUGACAGCCCCGUACACAAAAGCGCAUGUGCUGUGAGCUCGAUGAGUAGGGCGGGACACGUGGUAUCCUGUCUGAAUAUGGGGGGACCAUCCUCCAAGGCUAAAUACUCCUGACUGACCGAUAGUGAACCAGUACCGUGAGGGAAAGGCGAAAAGAACCCCGGCGAGGGGAGUGAAAAAGAACCUGAAACCGUGUACGUACAAGCAGUGGGAGCACCCUUUGGGGUGUGACUGCGUACCUUUUGUAUAAUGGGUCAGCGACUUAUAUUCUGUAGCAAGGUUAACCGUAUAGGGGAGCCGGAGGGAAACCGAGUCUUAAUUGGGCGUUAAGUUGCAGGGUAUAGACCCGAAACCCGGUGAUCUAGCCAUGGGCAGGUUGAAGGUUGGGUAACACUAACUGGAGGACCGAACCGACUAAUGUUGAAAAAUUAGCGGAUGACCUGUGGCUGGGGGUGAAAGGCCAAUCAAACCGGGAGAUAGCUGGUUCUCCCCGAAAGCUAUUUAGGUAGCGCCUCGUGAAUUCAUCUCCGGGGGUAGAGCACUGUUUCGGCUAGGGGGCCAUCCCGGCUUACCAACCCGAUGCAAACUGCGAAUACCGGAGAAUGUUAUCACGGGAGACACACGGCGGGUGCUAACGUCCGUCGUGAAGAGGGAAACAACCCAGACCGCCAGCUAAGGUCCCAAAGUCAUGGUUAAGUGGGAAACGAUGUGGGAAGGCCCAGACAGCCAGGAUGUUGGCUUAGAAGCAGCCAUCAUUUAAAGAAAGCGUAAUAGCUCACUGGUCGAGUCGGCCUGCGCGGAAGAUGUAACGGGGCUAAACCAUGCACCGAAGCUGCGGCAGCGACGCUUAUGCGUUGUUGGGUAGGGGAGCGUUCUGUAAGCCUGUGAAGGUGGCCUGUGAGGGUUGCUGGAGGUAUCAGAAGUGCGAAUGCUGACAUAAGUAACGAUAAAGCGGGUGAAAAGCCCGCUCGCCGGAAGACCAAGGGUUCCUGUCCAACGUUAAUCGGGGCAGGGUGAGUCGACCCCUAAGGCGAGGCCGAAAGGCGUAGUCGAUGGGAAACAGGUUAAUAUUCCUGUACUUGGUGUUACUGCGAAGGGGGGACGGAGAAGGCUAUGUUGGCCGGGCGACGGUUGUCCCGGUUUAAGCGUGUAGGUGUGUGUUCCAGGUAAAUCCGGUUCACUUUAACACUGAGGCGUGA